CCUGUCAUUGUCUUAAUGCAGAAAGAGGAGAAUAGUGAGAACCUGCAGAGAAAGAGUUCAGCUUUAUGUGAUGUUUAAGUCACUGCAAAAAGUGCCGAUGGAAGAAGUUGGAAGAGUAAAAAGUGUGGAUUGUAUAUUGCUGGUGCUUGGGGAAUGGACAAUAUAAUAGGACGCAGAUGGUGGAACAACCAGAGAAGAACAUCAGAAAUAAAUUGCCCUUGACCCAACCUAUUAAUGCUUUUCAUAUGCAAUUUCACCAAACUCACCAGUGCCUAGACUUACCG